UAUAUCAUGAACAUCUCAUUUAACUAGGACAAACCGUACGUCCUUAUAACUAGGAUAAACCAUCCUUAUAACUAGGUUAAACCGUCCUUAUAACUAGGAUAAACCGUCCUUUUAUAUAACAAGGAUAAUACAAUGUUCGUACGACUGGCAUAAAUUGAUACAAAGUAGGCUAUCAAUAGCAGCUAGAAAUGUGUUAAGACUUAUGCACAGGAAAAUAGCCUCAUGGGACCGGGGCUAUUAUAUAUACCAGAGAGUGUAUACAAUUAGUACGGGUAGAAAGUAGCAGUACAAGAAGGCUGUAAUACAGCUGUUAUGACAUACAAGGAAAACCCGUCAUGCUACUGAGUGAAACUGUUUUGUUUGGGUCAAUGCGCCAAAAUAGUUCCCGCCUGAGCGAAUAGUGGUGGGACACGAGUUCGAAGACAAGCAAGGCGAAUGAAUGGAGAGUUGUAUAAUGUAUCCAACCACAUCUAUUGAUCUACAUAUGCAGUUAAAUUACGUGUUGUUUGUAUGGUAUUAUUCGACGUAGCAAGAACAUGCAACUAGAGAUAAUAUAAGAUAGCACGUAACCUGGGGUAAGCGCGAAUGCAUAGCCUACGAAUACUGUACAAUACAAAAUGCGACUCAUGCAUGACACAGGACCAGAUCGAGUAACAUAUGGUUACAAUGCGUUACAUAGUACUAAUGUAGCCUAACAGCAGUAAAUUCAAGAACGUUAUAUUAGGGAAGUAAAUAAACAAUAUGGAACGAACUCACUCCGUUUGAGGUCCCAGAACGUGGAUUACAAGCUGCGACAAUAUUCUGGUUCUGGAACACCGCAUGCAUGGCCGGCAUGGGAUCUUGUGCAUCUCAGGAUAACUGUGAGUCUGUACCGUCCUUGUUCUUCUGAUCUUGCGCAUUACUUUUGCCAUUUGUUCGAAGAUUGGUGGAAUCGAACAGCAAAACGGUUCUCUUUACUUUGUCUUUUUUUUUUUUUUGUAUACCAGGUUUUGGUAGCUUACGCUCUGGUUAGAAUAUUGCGAAUGAGGCGUGAAGCAUAUAGCCUGUAACUAAAUGUCUUUCACUAAGAAUGGGGCCAUUGUAUUGUUGCGACGGAUAUAUUUAAGAAGAGUUGAUUGAUUAAACCCAAGUGCAUGACGUGUUCACGUGCUGUUGCCAAGGUUCAAUCUCUUUUGGCAGCAUGAUUAGAAAGUAAUGCCUUGUUUUCCAAGUGCAGUAGUUUUGAUGACAGAUUGGC